CGCUGGCGGCGUGCUUAACACAUGCAAGUCGAACGGAAAGGCCCUGCUUGCAGGGUACUCGAGUGGCGAACGGGUGAGUAACACGUGAGUAACCUGCCCUUGACUUUGGGAUAACUUCAGGAAACUGGGGCUAAUACCGGAUAGGAGCUCCUGCUGCAUGGUGGGGGUUGGAAAGUUUCGGCGGUUGGGGAUGGACUCGCGGCUUAUCAGCUUGUUGGUGGGGUAGUGGCCUACCAAGGCGGCGACGGGUAGCCGGCCUGAGAGGGUGACCGGCCACAUUGGGACUGAG
rnacentral:rRNA from 13 species